rnacentral:lncRNA from 1 species
UUUCUUCUCUGCAUACUGACGCAGUCUCUCCUCCCGCACUUUGGCAGCCUCCUGAUCUUCCUCUUCAUCAUCGCUGCCAAAAAGGUUGAUGUCGUCAUCAUCAUCAUCUUCCUCUGCAGCAGCUGGCUCAGCUUUCUUCGCAGGUGAAGCAGAUGGCAGCUCUACUUUCUUGGAGGGAACACCGAACGGUUCCACUUUCUGGGUUGGUGGAACAGGUGAGGGUUGAUGGGAGGUAGAUUUUUCCAGAGCAUUCAGGCGGCUUUCCAGCUUGAAGAUGGCCUUCUGGAGAUCUGCAACAACACUGUGAAGGUUUUGAUUUUUUCAGGUGAGGUUCUGGAGGAAGUUCAGGUCACAGCAGAAGAACUCGUGCUUGCGCUUCCGGCCAGCGAUUUCUGGAUAUUCUCCCUGGCUCUGGCAAUGUCGCGGAGGAUCGUGCUGGCUCCGUUCUCCUGCUGGUGCGAAGAGCUGCCGGCCGGCCCGUUCACCUGCUGCUCGUAGAACCUUCUUUCAGCAUCAUCGUACUUAAACUUCUCAAACCAGAUAUUCUCAUUCGAAAGGAAGUCAACUGCCAUUUUUCGGCAGCGCUGAGCCCUCCCGCUCCGCACCGCUCCGCUCGGCCUCCGCGGGGCAAAAGGAGAGCGGCGCUCCGCGCGCGGGGCAUUGUGGGGGCGGAGCGGACCACUCGCGGCUGUAGCGCGGGGGGGGGGUGGAUCAAAAAAAAAAAUACCGCGCACGUUUCGACGUUGAAAGGCGGUGAGAGAGAAUCGCGCUUUCUUCAAUAGAUUUAUUAGACCGCGUGAAGAGCGUGGGGUGAGAGAAGAGAGAGAGAAGAGUGGGAAAAGGAAGGGUGACAAAGGAGAUUGCCCCCCUUGCGCGUGGAGUGGUACAUUCCAAAUGCAUAGGGAGUGCAGAGGGAGAGUC